rnacentral:lncRNA from 1 species
UGUGUGUGUGUGUGCGUGUGUGUGUGUGUGUGUGUGUGUGUGUGUGCGUGUGUGUGUGUGUGUGUGUGUGUGUGUGUGCGUGUGUGUGUGUGUGUGUGUGUGUGUGUGUGCGUGUGUGUGUGUGUGUGUGUGUGUGUGUGUGCGUGUGUGUGUGUGUGUGUGUGUGUGUGUGUGCGUGUGUGUGUGUGUGUGUGUGUGUGUGUGUGCGUGUGUGUGUGUGUGUGUGUGUGUGUGUGCAUGACUGUGAGCAAGUGUGUGCUCGUGCGUUCUUGUGAGCACUCAGGUCUGGACGGGCGGUUGAAUAGACCCCAGGUUCUGCAGCUUGCUAAUGGAAUCCUGUCCACUCAAGGAGGUCUGUGGAGGAGGGAGGCCAAGACAGAAGCACCUUUGUUGGCCAUGUUGUACCGUGGGUGGCCCCCCUCCUGUCUUCAGACCCUCAUUUGUAUCACGUGUGUUGAGUGGUGGGUUUGGGCACCGGGCACGGAUGGCCUUGGCACUCGAGCGGCCAGACUGCGGUGGGAGACCUACAUGCAGCCUGGAUGGGUUUUAGGACGUGGCUCUAGGAGAGCAGGAGGAAGAAAUCUGCACCACUUUGUCUGGAGCAGAGGCAACGAAGGGGAACGUGCAUGUCUCCCUUUUUGGAAUGGCACCUGCAACCUGUGGAGGUUUUUGAAACAAGGGAAAAGUGACCAUCACAGCUAUCAGCCGUGGAUCGGCGAGGAAGGACUGUGAUUUACAGAUAGCACCUUGUCUCUCCUGCUGGCACCCCGUCAUUACACCGAGCUGAGCACUGGGAGAUAGGUGCUGCGAACAAGAAAGGACCUCUUCUGUAAAUGUCAACGCCAGUCAGAGCCUCAAAUUUUCUCCAUUAACUCUUUCCCCUGCAGUUCUCCAUACUCUAAGCCAAUAAUUACAUGACUUACUCCCUCCUAUUACCAAAUGUUUGGGGUCUAAGUGAUGUUAGAACAUCUGGACAACACACACUCAAAGGAAAAUAAAGCUAUUUGCCAUUUAAUUUAUCUUUCACUGUCUUAAUAGUCUUCUGCUGGCAUGUUUUCUAAGAAGUCACUUUGUGUUCUGAUUUGCAAAAUUUGUCAAAAUUCUGUAUUAAAAGGUUUUAUGGUAUUAAUGUGACUAGAAAUAAGGCAGAAUGCAAACAGUCAGCGCAGGUACGGGAAAUUAAUUUCAUGCUUCAUUCUGUGUUCCUGCUUUUGACCAUGACCUGAAGUUAGUGUGUGGUUACGGUGUGAAAUAGUAAUUUCAGCUCAGAUUCUACGGCAAAAAAAUGUUUUCAUUAUGAAACCAUAAAAAAACACAAGUGCUUAUUAUUUGAAUAUGCAGUUAUGUUCUAAUUAAAUAUUUAUUUUGCAUGAGUGUGUGCAUGUGAUGGAGAUUUCUGUUUGGAUUGAGGGAUAAGACUUUGUGUGUAUGUGUGUGUGUGUGUGUGUGUGCGUGCGCGGGGGUGGGG